CCCUUAGAUGUUCUGGGCCGCACGCGCGCUACACUGUUCGACGCAGCGAGUCUUAACCUUGACCGAAAGGUUUGGGUAAUCUUCAGCAAAGUCGAACGUGAUGGGGAUCGAUCAUUGCAAUUAUUGAUCGUGAACGAGGAAUUCCUAGUAAGUGCAAGUCAUCAGCUUGCGCUGAUUACGUCCCUGCCCUUUGUACACACCGCCCGUCGCUACUACCGAUUGAAUGGUUCAGUGAGAUCUCUGGAUUGACGCUGGCUAGGGGGCGACCCUUGGCCAGACUGUCGAGAAACUGCUCAAACUUGAUCAUUUAGAGGAAGUAAAAGUCGUAACA
rnacentral:rRNA from 1 species